UUUGUGAUUUUCCGUUAAACCAAAAACCAAGAAUAGGGAGGUAGGAAUAUUAUAAGAUUUUUGCUUAUUUGUUUUGCUUUUGUUCGUCAUCAUAAAGCUGACUAUCAAUGUACUAUUAAAUACUUACUGAAGAGAAGUCCCUAAUUGUAACAAAGCACAGUGGAGAAAGAAAGUGGCAAAUCAGAAGCUUAAUUGAGGUACAAAAUGAAGUGACUGGUAGUGUGAUUUCAAGUGGAUUUGGAAAGGCUGCCUGGAAGAAAUAGUAUGGAAAUAUUAAAAAUAGGUUGUUCUGUGGAACACAGCAUAUACAGAAGAAAGAGCUCCAGGCAAGAAAAAACAUGAUGAACAAUUCUUAACUGCUUCCUGCUGAACUGGGGCGUAGUAGGGGUCAUGCAGUUGAAAUUUCCUCAGGAAGGGUGCCUUUGAUGUCAUUAACAUUGGAGCACGGGCUAGUUGGCCAGUCCAGGGGUCGGCGGGAGAUCUUGGUCAUGGACUGCAUCUGGGGCUCCAUUUGAAGAAUGAUUUGUAGUGGUGAAGGAUUUUAAGUAAUUUCCAAUGGUUAGCUGCAGGCAAAAGUAUUUUUCCUUCUUUGGUGGCUAGCCAUCCUGAGGGGAUGAAACUAUGUCCUCUUGAGGUUCCCCAUUCUAUUUCUUCUGCUGAGUACUGGGGCUUGGUUUCCUGGAGGGGAUUACCCCAUUCCUUUUCUCUCCAUAUUGCUGCGUGGGCAUGGAGGACUAAGUAAGCACACUUAGAG
rnacentral:lncRNA from 1 species